GAGUAUCCUAACCACCGAAGUGUUCAUUUCACGGUAGUGAACGGGAAUCCCGGUGCGACCCGGGAGCGAUCCUCGUCACUGUGUGGCUUCAACGUGGGCUUCGGCCCGCGCCUGAGACUUUGGAAACGGUGUGCACGUCCUGCGUGGGGCAUCGUUGGUCACUGCGGUCGCUUGCGACGCGUGGGAAGGCUGAAAGGUUAUCGGGUCCGCGCGACUGCGCGCGGGGAGGGGCUAAGCCAGGAGACCGGCUACCAGCGGAGGGCGCUU
rnacentral:ncRNA from 2 species